CCUGUAUCUUGAGAGCACAGGCACUUAUUCAUUCCACAUUCAGUAAAUCAGUCAUUUUAUUAUACCUCACUUGCUUACCUAUUGACAUUUAGAUGUUGAUACUACUUACCCAAUUUUCAUUGAAGUGUUCACUGCUGUUUCUUAUUCUAUACUAUUCUGUACAUGCUGUCGAUGUAAGUCAUGGUCAUCGUUGUAGUGCUAGUUUUAAUUUUGAACUUGUGAAGUGAGUCAGCAUUGAGUUUACAGUAGCAUUGGAUUCUGGCGGCUGCUGGUGAAAGUAUCAAUUGAAUUGAAUAGCUUGGACAAACUAGUCUGGCUCUUCUGUAUUCAUUGAAGGUGGGUUCGGUCUGUGGUCCGCAGCCUGCCUCCCAGAGUAAGCACCCCCUGAACUCAACAAUGAUAGUAUAAGUUGUCAAAGUUAACCAAUACUUUAAGCGCAGUACAGAAACCGGGCUCAGAGGACAGUUGCAAAUGAAGUGCAGACAAUAGGACAUAUGACAGAAGAUAGCACUUCUGAACUCGAGUAGUGAAUAGAGUAUGGAAUGGGUUAACUAGCUCUUUUGUUGAUGCGGAGUCAUUGGGAUACUUUAAGACCUGACUUGAGAUCAAGCUAGGAACUGGACGAGCACUGAUGGACUGAAUGGCCUCCUCAUCUUAUUUGUCAUUUUUCUUAUAACAAGGUUUUGGAGGAAUUUCUCUUUUCAGUGAAACGUGUCUGAAGGGGCAAAGUGUUUCUGGCACUUCUACAGCACUUUAGCUUAACUGUGCUUUUAUAUAACCUUUAUGUAACGGGAAGCAAGCAGGGGGAGGUUUUAAGCUUUGGAUAAUGCUGAUUGGUAUUGGUACAUAUAAAGAACUCAAGAUAUUAGAUUGCAACGUCUGUUAUUAAUAAAUAGUUGAGUUUUAUGGCAUUUCGAUUUGUGUAAGGAAUGGUGUGGGCUGCUUGAAUUACAGCAUGUAACGUGGCAAUGCUAAUCCACAGGGGGGCCUGGGAGACUUAAGGGAUGGGAUGUAAUUGACAGCGAUCCGUGAGAACAAACAGUCUGCCAGAUUCAAUACUUCCAGAUAUCGCUUCAGGCAAAUUGCUUGAUAUUAUAGAGGCACAAAUAGAUCAAUAUAUAAAAAAAAUACAAUUAAAAAAUGUAAUAAAAAAACAACCUUGACCUGAACAAUCUCUCUGUUUUCCACAUAACUGCUAAAGCAAGACAGCACACUUGUGGCUUCAGGCGUCAUCCUCCUUUAUUAGUUUGUUUCCUUAACAGUUUGCCGUCUGUUUUAAUCUCUGACCGGUUUUGACAUUGUCUGCCUAGAAUCCAAAACUGCAAGAAUAGCAUCAGCAAUCUGCAGAGCCUGUGCUGCAUGAAACAGAUCGUCUGCAGCUUGCAGCAUUGGAAACAGGAUUGCUGGUGCAGGGGGACGUGCUGGAGAUACUGGGAGUGCACGGAGCUCCCUCCCUUGUGAAGUCAGACACACAGACUCCAGCACUGGUUCAGGAGGUGAAGACUGAAAUACCAGCAGCAAUGAAACCACAGCUGAGCCCCUCUGUGAACCUACUUUCAGAUCUUACUGCAGUGCCACCAGCGGGCCCCACAGCACCGGCCUCGUCUGCAGCGGAGCUCAAGGGGGACGAUGCUGCUGCUUCAGUCUCACUGAAGGAGCCGGCACAUCAAAUCACAGAAGCUGGGAGAACGGUAGAUCUGAAACAGAAUGUAGCAGUGCCCUCAGCACCUUCGGCACAAACAGAGAAGGCUGAGAAACCGCCAUCGAUCGCCCCCAUAGCUGAACCCCAGAAACCCUUUCCUGCAGCCGGACCCCCCAAAUCACCGGUUGCGCCAGUAACAGAACUCCCCAGCACUGCAGCCAGCCCUGCGACCCAGCCCCUAAAACCAUCACAGACAGAGGGACUGCCAAAGACCCCUGAAAACAAGAGCGCAGAACCAGCAAAACCUCCAGUGUCUGAGCCCCCGAACCCCCCAGACAUGAAGCAGGCAGAGGCUUCUGGAGGAGGAGCAGUCCUUGCUGACCCCUUGGCUUCACUCCUGCAAGGAUGGACUGACCAGCUGCAGGGAAACAGAGGCUUUCCAGAAGACCUGCCACUGUUCACUCCCAGCGUUUCCACCGUGAUCAACAAACACACCAGCCAGAGUGGGGUUGACAUGUCGACGUCCACCUCCACCACAAUCAAGACCACAGUGACUGUAGCAUCAAUGCCAGGUGUCCCAGGCGAGGGUCUUGUCAACAUUGGCAACGUUUCUCAAGUCUUGAUGGAACAGGCAUGGGACUGCCAAGGAAAUGACUCCACCAUGGUUACAAUGUUGAAAACCUCCAACGGUCACAAGUCCGGACACAUUCAGAAAACUCUGGAGCUGGCGCCGGGGAUGAAGGCAGACCUGGGCAGUAGUGGUGGUGGUGGUGGUGUUGAGGAGGAGGAGGAGGAAGUUUGUGAAAUCACAGAGACAAGAGAGGUGGAAGUGGUGGGUGUCGUCCUGGAGAGGAAGCAAAAGAAAAAGAAGAGAAGGAAGCCGAAGAUAACAGAGCUGCAGGAGGAGGAGCCCGAAGACCCCCGGGCGCACAGAAUAAAACAGUUCCUCACCGAACUGGAAUCAGGGGACUUUCUCAAGACAGAGGGUGCUGCAGGGAGCCAGGCUGGCACAGGUACAGCUGAAGCUCCAGUUUUAGAAAAGUCCCAGGAGAUCGCUCCCUCCUCCUCCAAGGAAGAGCAGAAGCUGGGGCAGGAUGGAGGGGAAUCUGAACCCAGGGGCCCAACAAGUCAUCUGGCAGUGGCCACAGAUAAGCAGAGACAUGCUCAGAGGAGACAGGAGAUGUGGGAGAGGGAGGAGGGAGCUGCCAGGAAUAAGGGCAGGAAGAACAAGCAGCAGAGGAAGAAGCAGUUUGAAGAAGGGACUGAGAAGGUCUGGGGAGGUGAGGUUAAGUGCCAGGGUUCAUCAGUGCACAGCAAAAAGGAAACUGCGUCGACCCAGGUCCAGGAGGUAGCAUCAAAGAACAACCCUGAUGUUGGCAAGAAGAAGGUCUGUGAAGCUGUCCCUGAGAAAGGCACUCCUACAAAGGAGUUCUGUGAGGUUCCUGGCAUGAAAUAUUCCCCAGGAACCAAGGAGGCUGCAAAAGAAGUCCCCUGCAACAUGAACAGUGAAAAGGUUAGCAGCGUUGAAUCCGCGGAGCUCUGUGAGGUUGGUACAGAGAAAGUCCUUAAUAUUUCAAAGGAGAAGGUCCCCCACCCUGGCCUAGAGGAGGUCCAUGACGGCACCCUGCAGGUUUCUGAAAUUAACCUUAAAGAAGACCUUGUCCCUGGGGUGAAAGAAACCCCUGCUCCUGCCCCUGUGGUGAAAGAUGCCACUCCCUCUGCCCCUGCCCCUCCCACUGCCCCUGGGGUAAAACAGUCUUCUGCCCCUGGGGUGAAUGAAGCCCCUGCUCCUGCCUCUCCCACUGCCACUGUGGUGGAAGAUGCCCCUGCCCCUGUCCCUCCCACUGCCCCUGGGGUAAAACAGUCUUCUGCCCCUGGGGUGAAUGAAGCCCCUGCUCCUGCCUCUCCCACUGCCACUGUGGUGGAAGAUGCCCCUGCCCCUGUCCCUCCCACUGCCCCGGGGGUAAAACAGUCUUCUGCCCCUGGGGUGAAUGAAGCCCUUGCUCCUGCCCCUCCCACUGCCGCUGUGGUGGAAGAUGCCCCUCCUUUUGCCCCUGCCCCUGUCCCUCCCACUGCUCCUGGGGUGCAAGAAGCCCCUGCUACUGCACCUCCCACUGCCCCUGUGGUGAAACAUACCCCUCCUUCUGCCCCUGCCCCUCCCAUUGUCCCUGGGGUAAAAAACUCUUCUGCCCCAGGGGUGAAAGAAGCCCCUGCCCCUGUGGUUGAUCAGAAAGUAACCCCUGUCAUGCUAAAGAAAGUCAGUGAAAUAGACUCUCAGGCAGUCUGCAGUACUGGUGGCACAAACAAAGACCAUGACACUCCAAAACAGGUUUGCAAAAUUGGUCCAGCAGAGGUUGUAAAAGAAAGAGUGAAUGUACCCAAGGAAAAUGAACCUCCUUCCACACUACUAGCGGAUAUGGGCUCUAAAGGACAGGUCUGUGAGCUUGCCUUAGGAGGUAACAUUGCCCCAGAAGCCCUGGAGCCUGCAUCGGCCAAGACUCUCGAACUCAACCCUGCUUUGCCCAGCAAAGUUGAGACGAAACAUCCUGAGGGACAAAACCUCAAAGCAGCUUCCGUGGAGCAGAAGACGACUGAGAAGGACACUCACCCUGGGCACCAGCAGCAGACGCUUACAGCCCUGACUCAAAAGAAGGACUUGCCAAAGGCAGCAAAGAAAGUUCUAAAAAAGAAUGGAGACAAGAUGAGACCAAAAGAAGGGAGAGCUGCACCAGAGGUGAAGGGCUACAUAAGAGACAUGCGGGCAAGGUCAGCCCAGAGACCGGAUAAUAAGACCCCUGGUCCCAGAGCCCAGGAUGAGCCCAGCCCGAGGCACGUGAGCUGUGAGGAGGAGGAUGUGCUGCAGAGGACCGCUACUGGGCCAGAUGAAGCUCCGGUGAAAGUGGAGGAGAAGUCGGAGAAAGACGCCGCAGCAAACGGGAUCAGUGCUGCGCCCAAUAAGGAGCUGCCACCAAGCCCAGAGAAGAAAACCAAGUCUGCCGCAGCCACCACCACUCCAUCUGCCAAGCCGAGCUCAGCAGCCAAACCGCGGCCGUCCUCAUUGUCAACAGCGGGCGCCCCCAAACGCCCCGCCUCCGCCACCACCCCCAACAAAAAAACACCCACCUCAGCAACCACGCCCACCUUCGGCACCAAGAGAGCCACGCCCACCACACCGCGCCCUGCCUCCACAACACCCAGAAACACCAAGCCCAAGCUCUCAGAUGCUCGCAGUCCAGUGAAGAGUCCUGAGAAGCGCCCUGCAGUCCCCAAGGCCAGCCCUGCUCCUGUUUCUAAACCUCCUGUCCCAAAGAGCAGUGUCACCCCCAAGCCGGCCACGCCUCGCGCCCCAGUCCAGAGGAACAGCACCAGCACCAGCACCAGCACCCCACCCAAGAGGCCCACAUCUAUCAAGACUGACUCCAAACCAAUAGAUGUGAAGAAAACGAGUACAGCGAAAUCACCAUCAGUGGACCCCAGCAGGUCACGGGUGGCUCCAGUCGUCUCCAGGACUAACCCAACCACCCCCAGCAGCCCAGGAACCCCUUUGGGUGCUAACCGCAUCCGUACCCCAAAACCCCCGACUCCCACUGCCACCGCCGACAAGAAGCUGACCACCCAGCGAGGACCCCCCAAGACCAGCCCUGCCCCCAAAACCACCCCCCGCCCCACCAGUGCUGCCGGAGCAGGAACCCCGACCCCCGCCAUCAAGAAUGUGAGAUCAAAGAUUGGCUCCACUGACAACAUCAAGUACCAGCCAGGGGGAGGCAAGGUUCAGAUAGUCACCAAAAAAAACGACUACAGCCAUGUCACUUCACGCUGUGGCUCCAAGGACAAUAUCAAGCAUGUUCCUGGUGGUGGGAAUGUCUCAAAAGCACAAAAAUCUGCUCCCCCGAGCCGCACGCAAAGCACCAUCGGCUCCAAGCAAUCCAGUGUGCAAAUUCUCAACAAGAAAGUGGACUUGAGCAAAGUCAUGUCGAAAUGUGGUUCCAAGACGAAUAUCAAUCACAAGCCAGGUGGUGGUGAAGUGAAGAUCGAGAGCCACAAGACGAACUUAAAAGACAAGACCCAGUCGAAAAUAGGCUCCAUGGACAACGUGGGGCAUGAGCCAGGCGGUGGGAAUGUGAAGGCUGAGGGGGAGAAGGAGGCAGCUGAGGGAGUGGCUCCCCCUAGUGGAGCUCUGACUGUAGCGCCAGCAGGGAGCGAGCCGCGGGAGAAUGGAGUAAAAGAGACUCCUGCCUGCACCGGGGAGAUAACAGAGAGAAAGGGUCUGGACCCCCACAUCCCCAAGACAAUAAUCAUCCCUGCUUCCAUGUUGCUGAGCUAGACUGAACUAGACUGAAGGAGCUGGAGAAGGGCGGGGUCCACUAGUUAUCCCAGAUUGAGUCUCACAAGCUGACGUUUCGCAAGAACACCCGGGCUCGCACGGACCACCGAGCCAAACUCAUCUACAAAUCCCACUCCCGAGCAGCUACGCCACCUCCCCCUUGCCAUCACACAGCGCCUCUCUCAGCGAGUCUCUAGGCUCCGCCCGCAGCGCCCGCUCCCCGCCAUCCCAGCAUGCAUGCUGGCACAGGAAGUCAUCGCAGCGCUGGACUGACGGGGGGCUGUGACUCUGCCUCCCUCUCUUCUUAUACUCUUUUAGCGUGGUAUUCUUUUCUUUUAUCUAUCUCUCUCUUUCUCUCUUUAAGUUUUUUUUUUUUAUUGUAAAUAGUCCGGGAGGUUUUGAGGUGGUUUAUGUGUAGGUGCACCUGCGGUUAAACACCCUGGCUGGCUGUCUCUCGCUUUGUCUCCUGUUAAAUCAAUUAAAUUAAUAAUUGGAUUUAAGGAGUCAUUGGAUUAAUACUUGGGAUUUCUCCCCCCCAGGAACAGACCAUGUUUGAUCAAUUUAGAAAUACACAUAGAAAGGAACUUAAUAAAUUCAAUGACAGGAGUUGGACAAGCCUUUCUCGGUGUCCAUGACAUUAGUAUUUCUGAACUUGUUGAGUGAAAAAUAGUUGUGGAGGAACAUCUUAUAACCAACCCAAUACAAACAUGCUAGUAUAGACACUACAUUCACCAGCAUGUUGAGCAUCCCAGACGCACGCGAAUCCAGGAUUAGUUUAGACAGCAACUGUUGUCUUCUUGAUUUCUGCUUGCUCAUGUCACUGUGUGGCUGUGUGGUCCAGUGGUUAAAGAAACGGCCUUAUAACCAGGAGGUCCCUGGUUCAAAUCCCACCUCAGCCACUGACUCAUUGUGUGACCGUGAGCAAGUCUCUUAACCUCCUUGUGCUCCGUCUUUCGGGUGAGACGUAAUUGUAAGUGACUCUGCAGCUGAUACAUAGUUCACACACCCUAGUCUCUGUAAGUCGCCUUGGAUAAAGGUGCCUGCUAAAUAAACAAAUAAUAAUAAUAAUAAUGAUGAGUAUCCCUACAGAAAAGGGCUGGUUGAUCGCAGCACAAACUCUGCAUGUGCACUUGGGGAUGUCACUGCGGAUAUUGAAUGUAUGAUUUCUGUGAUUUAAAUGGAGAGAGCGCAUCAUUCCUUAUUUAUUAUGUUAUUUCGAAACUUUGUUUGACCUCCUAACUCUUAAAGGAUUGGCUGCAGGGUUACCCUUAUAAGCACAGUGACAGCAUGGUUAAACAUAGGUAGGCUUUGUUGAAGCACAGAGAGGUGUGGUAAAGCCUAUUAAAAAAACAUGGCAAAGCAUGGUAAACUAACCCUUAUAAAAGUUUCCCAUAGUAAAAGCAUAGCAAAGUGUAAUAAAGCACAGUGAAAGCAUGAUAAUGCAUAGGUAGUAAAGGUAUGGUAAAGAAAACAUGAUACAUGAUGGUAAAUGCAUAGCAGAGCCUGAGAAAGGCAUGGGAUAAUGACCAUGGUAAUCUUUUAUAAAGGCAGUAACAGUGAGAUGUAUGUGUUUUUUUUUCUUGUUUUGAAGUGGAAUGAGCCAGUGUGUUUAAAAGCAGAACCACUAAACCCAGACAACUCUCCCUCUGAUCUCUCCCUCUCUGUCACUCCUCCACUCUGUGAUCCUGAUCCAUGACAUCUAGGAGAUUUACUGUUUGAACUGUAGACUUUUAAAAAUCUUUGUUUUGUGGUGAAGUGUUUGAAUAUAUUACUGUAUAAUGAAUAACUGUGCAAUGUUUUAGUUUGUUUUUUUCUUUUUCUUUUCCUCUUAAAAAGCAAUAUGGCGUUCUUGUUGUUAAUCUGAGCUUGUGACAGACCGAGUGAUGUGGAAAGUGAGAGCGUGGGCUGUUUUUUGAGUGGAUUUUCCUCCUCGGAGGGGAAGAAUUUCAGAAGCCGUUUUUAAGGCAAGGGAAGGCUUUCACAUUGAAGGUCUCUAGAGAUUGAGGAAAGGGAUCUAGGAGUCACUUCAUACAGAAAGUGCUAUUGAACAAGGGAAUUUAGGAAGAACAUUCUUGACUCCAGCUACUUUCACCCUCCAUGUCAUUAUUGUAUUCCCCCUUAAAUAUAUUGUUCAUCGUUGCUGAAGCGUUCUUUAAUGUAACACCAGUUUGGACUGCCCCAGUCACCUGUCACUGGAGUUUACCCUUCCCAGCGACGACACCUUUUAACCCUCAUAAGGUAACCUGGGGUGCAUUCGGACCCCACAGUGCUUUAGUAUCAGUUAUUAUGCAGAUCUAUUGACUUGAUAUUUUUUUUCCUUUUAAGUAGUUGUCAGGCACCCAUCCUGUUACAGUAUGCAAAGGAUAAUUCUAGUCCAGGUAGCCUGGUUGAAUUUCCCAAAUUGUUUUGGGGUUGGGGUCUGCAUGGACUCCAGACGUAGUGUACCGGCAGGCCUGACCUUCUCGCGUGAAUAUCUUAGGCACCGUAAUAGCUUUCUGGCUUGUUUGAAAGUACAGAAUUAGAGCUUUCCAAUGAUGUAUCGUAUGUCCUGAACACGUGUUCCUAAGCGAAACUACAGCAAACUGAAAAUAAGGUCCUAAGUUUUGUUUGUUGCCUAUUACUCGGUCGCUUCAACAGAUAGCGUUCCGGUUUCAACGUCAUUUAAAAGAGCAGGCUUUGCGCUUUCCAUUGAUGUCAGACAUGCCCUUAUGCGUACUUUCUACCACCCCCUCAUUCAGAGCUCCAGUGCCGUGACACACAGCAAAUCGGUAGGUGUGUUCAAGUGCCUGUAACUGGAAAAUGGAAAGAGGCAGGAACACAGCCAAAUGAAAGAGGAGACUUUGGGCUUUCCAGUGAUAUCUCAUGUGCCGUGACAUGUUCUUAGAAUAAACUACAGCGUCCAGAAUACAGUGGUGCCUUCACUUGCUAGGAGACAGCUGGGUGCAUUGGGCGUCUUAUCCAUUUUGCAUAGCAUAAACAACACAUUAUAGCCAACAAUGGCUAGAAGUAAAGGAAAAGCAAAAUAAGUGUUCAUAUACACAUUUUCAUUUACUCCAAUUGUUAGUUAUAUGUUGUUGUAGUGCUGGGGAUACCAGGAAAGUCCGUUUUCUGACGUGUCCUUAUGAGGGUUAGACUGACUUAGCAUCCCUGCCCAUCACUGUGCUUGUACCAUUCAUGAGAUAUUUUCAAUCAUGAAAGUCACAUAGAGUAUUUCAACUGCAUAUAUAUAUAUAUAUAUAUAUAUAUAUAUAUAUAUAUAUAUAUAUAUAUAUAUAUAUAUAUAUAUAUAUAUCACAGCAGCAUUCUUAGAAGAGUGGCAGGAUGACCGAAAAAGGAAACUGGUUAUGAUUGGAGACAAGAAUGUGCUUUGGUUAAAUGGUAAGCUGGUGUAGUUAGAAACCGGGUCUAGCUGAAUGUACAGUAAGUAAUCUUGCAAAAACUCCUUGUAACAUUUGUCUUCCCAGGACUAAAUGUCCCCCUUUAUUUAGCCCAGCCCUGGUUUGUUCGGAGGCUGUGUGUGUAGCUGACAUGGGUAACGGCAUGGGAGCAAGCGACUGGGGGUCUGUAGAACAGAAAGAGUUUGAUUAUGGUCCCAACAAUGCAAGACAAGUCCAGUAAGAGUUGGAGAGACUUUAAACACAAGUACUAAUGGAUCGAGAUGCUAUAACACUGAAAUCCCUGAAAACGAGGCUGGUUGCUUUUCAGCGUUUAUCUGUGAGAUCCUCACACAAUAUGAUAAUAAACCACACACCGGUUAGAGUAACAUAUUUGACUGGGAUUCUUCAUUGGAACACUGUUAAUUAUGCAACAGGUUUCACCACUUUCAGGUUGUGAGUUGUUUCUGAACAGCUGAGCUGUGAUUGAGUGAAGUGAUACCAUAUCCUAGUUUGCUGGUCAGGAGCGAAGAAUACAUUGAAAACCGCAUUAAGUUGCAAAGCCUCUGCAACCCAUUGGUUUCAUGAUAUUUCAGGAAAGAACCAGAGUUAUUUUACCCUGAGACAGCUCAAAAACAAGGCGAUUUAUUACAGUAUUUUAUCAGCCCCUGAAAAAUAGCAAGCUAGUUUGAACUAUUUUAAUGAUUUGGUGGAACUCAUGAAGUUGUUCUGACCAUUUUAUUUAUUGCAUGUGGACCAUGAUCUUUGCGAAUCGUUGCAAAUCCUGAGAUUUCACCACCCCCUAGCUGCGGGGAGGAUUAACAAACCCACAGAAUUGUGUCAUAAAAGGUUUUUUACUUCCUGUAUCAUGGAGCAGGAACGGGCAGAUAGGCCAAACUGUCUGCCCCUUAAUGUGAAAGGCAUUUGAAAAGGGAGGCUGCUUUAAACAGGAUCAGGCUUUGAACAUGCAUGCAUUCUAGCAAGGUGCGGUCUGUUAUUUGAGAAGUUCUUGUUUUAAAAGUUCAACGCCAUUGAAAUCUGCUUAAUGCGCUGAAGGACACAGCAGUGCGCUGAGAAUUCUCUGUUUACUUUUAAAUAAUGCGAGUUCUAACAGGGAUCAAAAUUAACUGGGCGAGGGAGUGGUCUUCAGAGAACAGGCAGGACUGCACACACUCCGUCUCUCUCUGUCCUCCCUCUCUACAAUUCUAAGAGCACACAAGUUGUAUUGACACGUGUCCACCACACGAGGGCACACUGCACUUGUUUUUUUAUAUUUAUAUAUAUAUAAAAAAAAUUGCCUGAUUUCAAAUAAAAAGUCAUUUUUAAAAAAGUCCACAAAAUCUGUCUUUCACUGUGUUAAAACAAAUGCUAAUAAUUUAAUUAUUAAAUAACUAAACCAAUAGUGCUUAAUCUUUUUUUUUUUUUGAGGAGGGGGGGUGGGUAUGUUAAAGGAACGGCUAGAAUGUUGGCAUUUUUUUUGUAUCAUGUUUGGUGACCUGCUUUCCCUUGAACACCCACAAGAAUUUAGCCUAGCCCUAAACUGGGAUCUGAGCUCCUGUUUAGAUUUUUUUUUAAAUAAUAUAAAAGAGAAUAGGUGCUCAUAAGAAAAUCAAAAGCAUGCAUUGCCUGUGUAAAAAGAAUACUCGUUAAAAUAAAUACAUUCAUCAAUAUAAACCGAUAGGAAGAUAGUAAGGGUUUGAACCCAUGUGACUUGGGGUUUACACAUUAGUCACGUUACCACUGUACCCACAUCACAUUUAAAUUGGGGCAGAAGAAUUUGGAAAUGACAUGCAACAUUGUUAAAUAAUAAAUAUUGAACCCGUUUCUCUUGCCAUGUGAAACAGUAUUGUAGCACAGUACACAAGACCAGUGGAAAUACAAAGCAUAUUGUAGUACAUCUGCCACAAAAAUGACAUGUGGGACAUCGGGACUGUCUUGUUUUUCUAAAUUGGGUACCAUCUCUUCAAUAAUUUUGAUACAUGUGCAAAGAUGAAUAGAAGGAACGGGAUGUGUCUGAAGUUAUGAAAAUGCAAAGGUUAUAAAAUGAAUUGAAAUAACUGGGACUUUGAAACAUUUUAAACUACAAAAAAUGCAAUAAUGUUUUUGUUUUCCAAGACGAAGUUAGAUCAAAGACGUUAUUUCGAGUGACGAUGAUGAAAAGUUUGUGUGUGUGUGUGUGUGUGUGUAUAUAUAUAUAUAUAUAUAUAUAUAUAUAUAUAUAUAUAUAUAUAUAUAUAUAUAUAUAUAUAUAAAUUCAUUCUAUAUAUUCUGGUCCUAUACUAGAAUGAAUGUCUUAUGAACUGGUGUUAGUUCUCUGGUGAUGAGUGACUGUGUUAGCAGAGUUUUUAGGUUAGUUUCUACUGCUGCUUUCCACACUCAUCUUUGCUGUGUCUUCAAAGGACACACACACACACACACACACACACACACAUGUAUAGGUAAUGGACACAAAAAAUGGAAACACCAAUGUAAAGUCAUUUAAUAGGGUGUUGGGCCACUAUGGUAUCCUGCUCUGUGGAGUUCUCGGCGGACCGUUUUUGAUGAAACUGGCUGCUCUCGCCCCAGGUUGAAAUUUUGCCUUGCACUUCGAAUGAAUGCACGGGUAUCAUGAUCCUGGAGUAUGUGCUUCUGCCCACUGUUGCCCUUUGCUGAUGAUGUCUUUCCCUCGAAGUUCCAUACCAACAUCACCUUAGAAUCGUUGCUCGUGAAACAUCAGCAAGUUGAGCUGUCUUGGGCACUGACGCUCCUGCCAAGCGCACCCCAACAAUCACCCCUCUUUCUAAGUCACUGAGGUCUCCUAGGCAACCAGGCCUGUCCAGCAUUUUUAUACAUGACCCUCAGCAUGCUGGGAUGUUUUUUGCUUAAUUAAGGCAUGAGCCACACCUGUGUGGAAGCCCUUGCUUUCAAUAUACUUGGUGUCCCACAUUUACCCAGGUGUUUCCAUUUUUUUGUCCACUACCUGUGUGUGUGUGUGUGUAUCUAUAUCUAUAUAUAUAUAUAUAUAUAUAUAUAUAAUCUCUACAUUAAAUGGUUGUUGAGUACAACUACUGCCUGCUUUACACACCUUUAUUUUAUUUUAAGUUUCCGUUAUAGGGUUGGAGAGAAAAAAAUGUUAAAUAAUAGACUUAAAAGCACACACACAUUAUAUAUAUAUAUAUAUAUAUAUAUAUAUAUAUAUAUAUAUAUAUAUAUAUAUAUAUAUAUAUAUAAAUAUAAAUAUACACAGAUUGAUCUUCUCACAGUGCUUGUGAAUGGAUUACAGGAGACCUGUCAGCACACACACCCCCUCCGAACAAUCACACACACAGCCUCUGAACUGCUUGGGGAAUGUCAGUAACAAGUGCGGUGAUCAACAGUCUCUGCUUGUGUAUUUGUGAUGUCAGUCUCCAGCGAUGCAGUUGAGAGAUAUCUUGUCCUGCUUCCUAGUAGAGCAUAGGAUGUGUAAAAAAUGUAUUAGAAUAAAAUAACACACAAAAGGCAUGCAUAAGUAUAUGCUUUCUUUUAAAUAAACUCCUGUCAUUUGCAGGUUUUUAUUUUAUUUUUUGGUUUAUUUGGUUUGAAGGAAGUGUUUAUUGUGGUACAUGUUAACUAGUUACUAAUAAACCUAAAUAAAGAAGAAAUAUGAGAAAUAUUG